rnacentral:rRNA from 1 species
GGGACACGUGGUAUCCUGUCUGAAUAUGGGGGGACCAUCCUCCAAGGCUAAAUACUCCUGACUGACCGAUAGUGAACCAGUACCGUGAGGGAAAGGCGAAAAGAACCCCGGCGAGGGGAGUGAAAAAGAACCUGAAACCGUGUACGUACAAGCAGUGGGAGCCUCUUAAUGGGGUGACUGCGUACCUUUUGUAUAAUGGGUCAGCGACUUAUAUUCUGUAGCAAGGUUAACCGAAUAGGGGAGCCGAAGGGAAACCGAGUCUUAACUGGGCGUUAAGUUGCAGGGUAUAGACCCGAAACCCGGUGAUCUAGCCAUGGGCAGGUUGAAGGUUGGGUAACACUAACUGGAGGACCGAACCGACUAAUGUUGAAAAAUUAGCGGAUGACUUGUGGCUGGGGGUGAAAGGCCAAUCAAACCGGGAGAUAGCUGGUUCUCCCCGAAAGCUAUUUAGGUAGCGCCUCGUGAAUUCAUCUCCGGGGGUAGAGCACUGUUUCGGCAAGGGGGUCAUCCCGACUUACCAACCCGAUGCAAACUGC